ACGAACGCUGGCGGCGUGCCUAAUACAUGCCAGUCGAACGCUUCUUUCCUCCCGAGUGCUUGCACUCACUUGGAAAGAGGAGUGGCGGACGGGUGAGUAACACGUGGGUAACCUACCCAUCAGAGGGGGAUAACACUUGGAAACAGGUGCUAAUACCGCAUAACAGUUUAUGCCGCAUGGCAUAAGAGUGAAAGGCGCUUUCGGGUGUCGUUGAUGGAUGGACCCGCGGUGCAUUAGCUAGUUGGUGAGGUAACGGCUCACCAAGGCCACGAUGCAUAGCCGACCUGAGAGGGUGAUCGGCCACACUGGGACUGAGACACGGCCCAGACUCCUACGGGAGGCAGCAGUAGGGAAUCUUCGGCAAUGGACGAAAGUCUGACCGAGCAACGCCGCGUGAGUGAAGAAGGUUUUCGGAUCGUAAAACUCUGUUGUUAGAGAAGAACAAGGACGUUAGUAACUGAACGUCCCCUGACGGUAUCUAACCAGAAAGCCACGGCUAACUACGUG
rnacentral:rRNA from 1 species